UGCGCUCUGCCGCGCCUCCGCGCGCUGCCUGCUCAGCCAUCUCCCUCCGCCGCCUGCCUGCGCGCCGCCUGCUUCGCUUGCUCCGCCUAGCUACUCCGCGCGCCGCCUGCUCCGCUGCCCGCUGCGCCGCCUGCUUCGCCUGCUCCGCCUGCUCGCCUGCUCCGCCGUCUGCUUCGCCUGAUCCGCCGCCGCCUAAUUCGCCUGCUUCACCUGCUCCGCCGCCGCCUGCUCCGCCCCCUACCUGCCUGCUCCGAUAAGCUCAGCCCCUAAUUCGAAACCCUAGCCUAAAAUCAGGUAAU
rnacentral:lncRNA from 1 species